AGAGUUUGAUCCUGGCUCAGGACGAACGCUGGCGGCGUGCUUAACACAUGCAAGUCGAACGGAAAGGCCCUUUCGGGGGUACUCGAGUGGCGAACGGGUGAGUAACACGUGGGUGAUCUGCCCUGCACUUUGGGAUAAGCCUGGGAAACUGGGUCUAAUACCGGAUAGGACUACGCGAUGCAUGUCGUGUGGUGGAAAGCUUUUGCGGUGUGGGAUGGGCCCGCGGCCUAUCAGCUUGUUGGUGGGGUGAUGGCCUACCAAGGCGACGACGGGUAGCCGGCCUGAGAGGGUGACCGGCCACACUGGGACUGAGACACGGCCCAGACUCCUACGGGAGGCAGCAGUGGGGAAUAUUGCACAAUGGGCGCAAGCCUGAUGCAGCGACGCCGCGUGAGGGAUGACGGCCUUCGGGUUGUAAACCUCUUUCAGCUCCGACGAAGCGCAAGUGACGGUAGGGGUAGAAGAAGGACCGGCCAACUACGUGCCAGCAGCCGCGGUAAUACGUAGGGUCCGAGCGUUGUCCGGAAUUACUGGGCGUAAAGAGCUCGUAGGUGGUUUGUCGCGUUGUUCGUGAAAACUCACAGCUCAACUGUGGGCGUGCGGGCGAUACGGGCAGACUUGAGUACUGCAGGGGAGACUGGAAUUCCUGGUGUAGCGGUGGAAUGCGCAGAUAUCAGGAGGAACACCGGUGGCGAAGGCGGGUCUCUGGGCAGUAACUGACGCUGAGGAGCGAAAGCGUGGGGAGCGAACAGGAUUAGAUACCCUGGUAGUCC
rnacentral:rRNA from 1 species